AAAUAAUCCCUUGAUGAAUUAGCAUACAGCGACGUUCUGUGGAUUGCAUAACAUAUAAGGUUUAUAAAGAUUCACUCGUUCAUUAUGGCUGGACAUGAUGGGAAAGUAGAUAUAUCUAGAAGAUGGACUGGAUACUACAACGAUGACAAGGAAAACACAUUUUGGCUAAGUCUGGACCAAGAACGAAAAGACGAAUCACUUGAAGGAUCUGAUGUAAAUGGAAGCAAAAUUUACACUAGACUUAAUAAAUCAAGUGAUUUUGGAAGACGUCAUGUUAUUUUCUGUUUGGUGAAUGACAAAGGGAAAAAAGAUUGCUGAGAUGGAUGUAAAGAUUUUAAAGGAGUUAUCUCUGUAGAAGGCAGUAGAAUUGUAGGAAUAUAUGAGAAAGACGGGCAAACUGUCGGCACCUUCACAAUGGAAAAGAGGAUUUUUUUGACAAUGGACAAUAUCAAUAUUGGGCUAAGAGGACAAUGAACUGAAUGCUACGAUGAUGAUAAGAGCAAAACGAUGACGCUUAACAUAGACAUUACUAAACUACAACCAAAUGGUGUUAUUGGUGAUGGAGUCCUGAUUGGCAUUAAAAUAGUUAUCAUACUUCGUAUGGUCGAUUUCCACAAACAUGAGAUGAGAUUGUGUGUUCCCAAUGCACGCCAACCCAAAUGCGAAGGCGACUGUACAGAUUUUGUCAUUGCAAUGGUUUCGGAAAGUAUGAUACAAGGGGAUUAUGAAAGUCCAGAUGGAAAAGGCACCUUCAGACUAAAUAAAAAAAAAGUGAAUACAUUUGUUAUUUAGAUACAAUUACCUAUAUCUGUAGAGAUAACGUGAACAAUUCUAUAUGUUUGGACGCUUAUAUUUAUAUACUUUUAUUCAUAGUUAUAUUAAGCCAAUGUAUCCACCUACUUUGAACAAUAUUUACUAACAGUUAUCAAUUGUAUUAUGCAUAACAAUGAACAUAUUGAAAUGAAUAUUUACCUGAAAAAUGGAUUAUUUCUAACAUAAGUUUUGUAGUAAAAUAAAGCAUUGCCGACAGUAUACAGUAGUUUAAACUUAUAAUUACAAUUAUAACAUAAUCAGCCAUCACAAUUUCAAUUAUUACAAUCAAGUGGCAUGAUGUAUCAACAAAUCUACUUCUUUAUACUGAUAACCAUAAUUUAACAAAUGAACAAAUAAUACUAUUUGUAUGAUAAAAUUAGUCCAAUUAACGAUAGCAUAUGACUUAAGGAGAUACUUUUAAUAAAGCA